GUGUUAUUGAAAUUUAUUCAAAAGAAGAAAGGUUGGAGGUAUACCUUACAAUAUAGGAGAACUACCUUUCAUGAAAAAGAUUACAUGGAUAUCGGUGCUGGAACAAGUAGAGAAGAUAUAUCUACUUUACAAAAGAAAUUUCCUAAGAAAGCUAAAUGAAGUAAAGAAACAAAAGUAGGGAUUUGCUAAAUCUUCAUUGAGGAUCCUCUCUACACACAUCUCGAUUCUUGAUCCCCACUCCAUGCCAAGAGGUCAAUUAGUAGUCUCUUCGAGAUAGCAUGAGUUGUCUCUUAACCUGCCAAGGAAAUUCCCAAAAUAGUUAGAUUCCUUCUUCAACAAAAACCAAUGAAAAAUGGUAUUCAAGAAAAUGGUAAGGAGCCAUUUAAAGAUUUGCAAGAGUGUUUGCAAGGAGACAAUGAAUAAGAUAUCUCAAAUCUUCCCAAAGUGGAUGUAAUGACAAUUGGAUAAAGAAUGAUGAGUCAUCCCCUUAAUCUAAAGAGUGAAAAGUCCUUUUCUACCACAUGGUCAAUUAAGAAACUUGAUCACCAAGUAUAACACCUCCCAAGACUUUCACCAACAAGGUAAGGAAGCCUUUAUCAAGAUUCAAAAAGAGAGAUGAACAAUUAGCUCAAAAGAGAAUUUGGUAUCUUCCCCAGCAAGUCAAAAGAGUUGGCUAUAUAAAGAGCCAUACCACACCUCUUGCUUCACCUUUUUACCACUUAGAAACUUCUCUGGAAAGAGUAGCAAGGAAUGAGAGGAGAGGGAGGAAGCUCUUGAGCUGCCCAACAAUUAAGGAAUCACCAAAGCAAGGAUAUUUUGCUCGAGGGCAAAGUGAGGCCAACACUAGAGUUGUUAUUUGGAGAUAAGCAUAUCAGAGAUGUGAUGAUGCUAGGCAAUUCAUGAUAUUCAGGCGCCCUAGUCCUGGUGCUGGUACUUUGGAUUGCGUUUGAGUUGAUGGAGGAACAUCGACAACUUUUGUAAUAAUUAAGGGACGGGUCAUAACUGUUGCUUCAGUUGGUGAUUCUCGUGGUGUGCUUGAAUCGGCUAAAGGGAUUAUAUAUUAUCUAUCAACAUAAUUUGCAGUAGAAGAAGAUUAGAGUCUUGCACCUUAUAUGUUAUGGAUCUCCAUAGGUGAAAGAUCGAACUCGUGGAGGCAUUAUUUCAGCAACAUGUCAAGCGUCCUUCCAUCAAAGUAUGGAAGCAAAAGUUGUUUUAUUUCCUACAAGGACACUAUGAACCUGUUUUUGCGAGGUGGACCACAGAAAGGCGUGCAGUAUGUCGAUGGGUUGAAGAUUGGGACUUCAAAAAAAUUAUUAUUUGUUAGAAUCAAGUAUGUUUUGCUUGUUUUGGCCUUUUUUAUGGGGCAUUCAACUCCAUUGUAAUAACUGUACGUUGAAAAUUUAUGCGUAAGUGUUUGGUUAGUGAGAUUCA